UGCAGUCGAACGAUGAAGCCCAGCUUGCUGGGUGGAUUAGUGGCGAACGGGUGAGUAACACGUGAGUAACCUGCCCUUGACUCUGGGAUAAGCACUGGAAACGGUGUCUAAUACCGGAUAUUUCAGCUGGCCGCAUGGUCUGGUUGUGGAAAGAAUUUUGGUCAAGGAUGGACUCGCGGCCUAUCAGGUUGUUGGUGAGGUAAUGGCUCACCAAGCCUACGACGGGUAGCCGGCCUGAGAGGGUGACCGGCCACACUGGGACUGAGACACGGCCCAGACUCCUACGGGAGGCAGCAGUGGGGAAUAUUGCACAAUGGGCGAAAGCCUGAUGCAGCAACGCCGCGUGAGGGACGACGGCCUUCGGGUUGUAAACCUCUUUUAGUAGGGAAGAAGCGAAAGUGACGGUACCUGCAGAAAAAGCACCGGCUAACUACGUGCCAGCAGCCGCGGUAAUACGUAGGGUGCAAGCGUUGUCCGGAAUUAUUGGGCGUAAAGAGCUCGUAGGCGGUUUGUCGCGUCUGCUGUGAAAACUGGAGGCUCAACCUCCAGCCUGCAGUGGGUACGGGCAGACUAGAGUGCGGUAGGGGAGAUUGGAAUUCCUGGUGUAGCGGUGGAAUGCGCAGAUAUCAGGAGGAACACCGAUGGCGAAGGCAGAUCUCUGGGCCGUAACUGACGCUGAGGAGCGAAAGCAUGGGGAGCGAACAGGAUUAGAUACCCUGGUAGUCCAUGCCGUAAACGUUGGGAACUAGAUGUGGGGGCCAUUCCACGGUCUCCGUGUCGCAGCUAACGCAUUAAGUUCCCCGCCUGGGGAGUACGGCCGCAAGGCUAAAACUCAAAGGAAUUGACGGGGGCCCGCACAAGCGGCGGAGCAUGCGGAUUAAUUCGAUGCAACGCGAAGAACCUUACCAAGGCUUGACAUAUACGAGAACGGGCCAGAAAUGGUCAACUCUUUGGACACUCGUAAACAGGUGGUGCAUGGUUGUCGUCAGCUCGUGUCGUGAGAUGUUGGGUUAAGUCCCGCAACGAGCGCA
rnacentral:rRNA from 1 species